rnacentral:rRNA from 1 species
AGCGGAGCGUGUGGUUUAAUUCGAGGCUACACGAAGAACCUUACCAGGGUUUGACAUGCAAGUGGUAGGAAUCCGAAAGGUGACCGACCUUCGGGGAGCUUGCACAGGUGCUGCAUGGCUGUCGUCAGCUCGUGUCGUGAGAUGUUCGGUUAAGUCCGCUAACGAGCGCAACCCUCGUCGUGUGUUAUACGUGUCACACGAUACUGCCGGUAUCAAGCCGGAGGAAGGUGGGAUGAUGUCAAGUCAGCAUGGCCUUUAUAUCCUGGGCUACACACACGCUACAAUGGCAGAUACAAUAGGUUGCGAAACCGCGAGGUGGAGCCAAUCCUCAAAGUCUGUCUCAGUUCAGAUUGUAGGCUGCAACUCGCCUGCAUGAAGUUGGAGUUGCUAGUAAACGCAGGUCAGCUAUACUGCGUUGAAUACGUUCCCGGGGUUU